GCCGGCACAAGCUCUAGGGCCUAAAGCCACAGCCUGAGUGGCCAACGCAUCACCAGGGCCUUAAAGCCACAAGAAGGGAGGCUGGCACCCACCCCAGCGCAUAAAGCCUCAGCCAGGGAGGCAUCCACUGGCCAUGGGGCUUAAAGCCACAGCCAGAGAGGCCUGCAGUGGCCCUGAAGCCAAAAGACACAGGCCGAGAGUCCUAUACCAGCCCAGGGCCUGAAGCCAUAGGCAGACAAGCCAGCACUGACCCAGGAGCCUAAAACCCCAGCCUGAGCCCGAGAGGCCAGCACCAGCCCAAGGCCUAAAGCCAAAGCCACAGAGGCCACGAGCAGUCUUUGGGCCAAAAGCCACAUCCUGAGAGGCCUACACCGGCCCAGGGCCUAAGGCCAUAGGCAGACAGGCUAGCAUUGGCCCGGAGGCCUAAAGCCGCAGCACCAGCACGAGAGGCCUGCACCAGUCCUAGGCUGAAAGCCACAACCACAGGCAGGGAAGCUGGCAUCUGCCCUGAGGCUUAAAGCCACAGCGACAGGCAGAGAGGCUGGCACCAGCAGCAAGGCCUAAAGCCACAGCCAGAGAGGCCAGCACCAGCCCUGGGGCAUAAAAACACAGCCAGACAGACUGGCACCAGCCCUAGGGCAUAAAGCCACAACCCGAGUGGCUGGCUGUGGCCCUGGGCCUUAAAGCCUCAGCCACAGCCCGAGAGGCCAGCACCAGCCCAAGGGCCUGAAGCCACAUCCACAGCUAGACAGGCUGGCACCAGCUGUGGGGACUAAAGCCACAGCUUGAAAGGCUGGAACCAGUCCAGGGGCUUCAAGGCACAGCCAGAACUCCAGAGGCCAGCACUGGCCACGUGGCCUGAAGCCACAGCCCCAGCCCAAGAGGCCUGCAGUGUCCCCGGGGCCUAAAGCCCCAGCAACAGCCAGAAAGGCCAACAGCCGCCCUGCACCUAAAGCCACAUCCACAGCAAGAAAGACCGGCACCAGCCCCAGGACAUAAAGCCACAGCCACAUCCAGUGAGGCCGGCACUGGCCCCGGGGCCUAGAGCCCUGAAUGUCAGUGGGUGCCACUUUUUCUGCACAAAGGAGUUCAGUUCCACUCCUUUGCUUCAUCCGCACUUCCGUGUCAGACGGCAGUUGGUCAGAGUGCCCCUCUGCUGCCAUCAUGGAAUGCCAUCACUGCAUGGCAACAACACGGAACGGAGCAUUGGUGGGAAGGUUCAGCCUCCCUGAAACGCAGGCUCCAUGUAAAAUAACUGCAAUUGAGCAUUUCAUAGGUGGGUGUGCGUUUUUCUCUUCCAAACUGUAUUGUGAGUCAAAUUGAGUCCCAUGGCCAAGCUGCUCUUCAGGGUAUCACGCUUCCUUUGAAACAUCUCCUGCUCUUAGAAAAAGUAGAAGCUCCCUUCAGAAGGAAAGCAGAGAAUAGACGUCUGCUGCCGAGCUCCCUGGAAAUGUUGCUUCUCUCUCCCACCCUCUUGAGGCGUUCAGCUGACCAUCUCUAAGAGGGCAUGGGUGUUCCAGGGGUGUCUUCUGCCUGAAAAGCAUCUGGCCAAACUCAGGGCUAUGCUUGGAAUCCAAGGCCAAGCACCAGCCCUGGGCCGAGUCAAGGCAGCGAAACCCGCCCCGUGGUCUUCAUGGAGCUCAAAGGCCAGCCUGCCCUCGGUGCCCAAAGGGAGUAAGUGAGCGCUGCAGCCACCAAGCUCCCGAUCAGCCAAAUGACUGAAGUUUAGGAGCGAGGGGCCCACGACCACCACCUCUGGUGUGGUGCUGCUGGCACGCAAGGGGUCCAGGUGUGGGGAGUGCCAACCAGCAAGGCGCAGAGCUGGGCUCGUGCCGUGUCAGGGCGGGCAGCAGGCUGCUGUGCCAGCGCUUGUCAUAAUGGGCAACUGACAGCAUUGGCCGCUUGCCGCUGUGUCGCCGUGGCGACGUCUAUGACACGGCCAGCCAGGAGGGGUCUGAAGGCGGUCCCCAGUGGUGGCCCCUGCAUCCUGAAGGAGCAUCGGGCAGAGAGCAGAUGCAUCUGGAAGGGAUGAGCUCCCACGUGGCUGUUGCCAAUGCGGGGCGUCCUGCUGCGGUGAAGCGGGCCAAGAUCCAAUUCUGGGAGGAUGGCCCCGCGACACAGCGUGACUACAGAAUGCCAGAGGUCACCGCCAAAGGUACGCGGGUCCACUGGCAGCACAGGAGCAGAGCUGCCAGCAAGUCCUGGCACUGAGCGGGAGAGCCAGCACGGGGACCAUGUCAGGGCUGUCUCCCUUUGGGGCUGGGGACAGUGAGGACACUUUCCAUCUGCCACCUCCCUCCCGCUGCGAGGCAGUAGGAGCACUGGGAAGCGGCAGAAGCAGAGUGUGACCCGCUUUUCCUCUGCCCUCCAGAGCGAGUUGCCGUCUGGGAUGCGGUGGCCGUCUACGUCCAGGAGCAGCUCCUGCUACGCAAGGGGGUCCGAAUUCCCACCUUCGGUUCCUUCAGCCGUCUCCGAACGGAUUGAGGCUGAGGAUGGAGCCAUGACUCUGCGGUGGCCUGCGUUUUGCCUGGCCAGGAACCUUGCGGGCAUCCACAACCUGAUGGAGAGCGACCCACCAGGCCAUAAGGAGGUGCAGCCCCUCAAGUACACUGAGGUGGCCGCGGCCGCAUCUGUGACCUGGCAGACUGGGAAGGCCUGCAUAUUUGGCACCACGUCCCUCGUUUCCCACUGCCUGAGGAAGGGGGAGAACAUUGCCUUUGUCCUGAAGGACAUAGGAGUGCUCCUCAUCGAGGGAACGAGAGUUCAGAUGAAGUUCUACUACGACUUCCUCGAGAGGAUCAGCGGGAAAGAGAACCUAGAGAAAGUUGUUUUCAAGGUGCCCCGGCUGCGGGACAUGGUGGUGUCCCGGGUGGCAGCUGUAGCCUCCCUGACGUCCUGUGGCCGAGUCAUCGUCUUUCCCAGGUUUCGACGGGAGUUUGUACCCAAACCACCACCCAGGACAGCCCGCAAGGCCUGCCAUGUCCCAUUGCCACCUCUUGACCAGGCCAAGAAAGAGGAACUUCCUGAAUUGCCACCCCUCCCCAGCUGGAUCCGCGUUACCUUUGUAGUGAAAAAACAGCCUGAGAAGGAAACAAGCGAUGUCAAGAAGAAGGCCAGUCAGCUGCCAGCGGUCCCAGGGGCGUCUUCUGCCAAAAAGCAGCCUCAGAAAAAAAAGAAGGGAAAAUGCUCUACCAAAAGCAAGGCGGCAGAGAUGGCUCCAGCAGAGGCAGCGCAACCUCCAAGUGGCAAAGAAGAAGAACGCGGCGCGGUGAAAGCCCCCGCUGGAGGAGGAGUGCCGCAAAAGGCACAGGCCAAGCUCAGAAAGCACCGUGGAGCCCCAGCCCUGCAACAAACACCACUGGCAGCCCUAUGGUCCUCGAGCUCUGAGACCAGCCUGCCCGAGGAGCGCACCUACAGCGCCUCUGCUGCGGUGCCACUGACGCACAGGAGGACCAGAUCUCUGCAGAGUCAGCCACCAAAGACCAAAGCGGGGCUCCCCAGGCGGGGGAUGUCCUGUCCACGCUGACCAGGGCAUGGGGUGCCCAGGAGAAGCAGAGCUCCACCUGAGGCUGCCAAACAGGUGUGCGAUUCCUCUCUGUGCCAUUCCUGGGGGCCUGUCUGCACCCUUCUUUGGUUUUGGCUCCAAGUUUGCUUUCGGAGGCACUUCUUGCCAUAAGACUCUGACUUGGCUAGGAGAUGACAGGUGGGUGUGGCAAUCAGCAUCACUUGGUGGACAAUUUUACAUUUGAAAGCAUUUCUUUGCAGCUCUUUGCCUUUGGAAAAGAGUGCUGAGGAGUGUUUACUUGAGGAAGGUGUGGGCUGUGACCAAAAACUCCAGCUUGGUAUAGGAGAACUGAGGGAACAACGCCAUCGUAUCCUGCGAAAAACAGGAUGCAGGUGGACACCUCCCUGCUCCCUCCUAUCUGCUGGCAAGGCGCGGGAGAUGGGGACAAAGGAGUUUCUGCUGAGAUCCCAAAGCCACAAGCCGCCACUCCAAAGAGAGCUGACCGUUGUCGUCAACUGAACAACGACCCCUGAUGACCCAUCACUACUGAAGAUCGACGUCUGAGCUACGAACCACGCUGGACCUGUGGUGGUGACUGUCUCUCUCUUGCUUCCUACAAAGACAGCUUGCUUUUAUUUGCUAUAUUUUCUAUCGCCCGUCUUCCCUUCCCCAUCUCCCUAAACAACUUGGGUUUGUAAUAAAGCGGACGGGCUAACAUUUAACCCGUGGUGUCUUAAGCUCUCUGUCAGGUGUACAUAGAAUAAAAGAACCUCCUCUCGCUCUGAUAAUGGGAGCGAGACAGUGCCGUCUCUUUGAAGAAAAGCAGAGGUAGAGGGACAAUGGAGACUCUUCCUUCCAAGACCCCUUGGCUCUGACAGACAAGGUGGCUACACUCCUUGGAGCCUUGGGAUCUCGAGCUCCUCAUUUUCCAGUGUCACGCUCUCUUCUGGUGGCACGCAGAGCACACCAAAGCCCAC
ensembl:lncRNA